CGCGUUGAAACACCGGUUCCCGUACGAUUAUCGAAGUUAAGCAACGUCGAGCCUGGUCAGUACCUAGAUGGGUGACCACUCGAGAAUACCAGGUGCUGUAAG